rnacentral:rRNA from 1 species
UGAGUUCAUACUCGUGGCGAAAAGCUCAGUAACACGUGGCCAAACUACCCUACAGAGAACGAUAACCUCGGGAAACUGAGGCUAAUAGUUCAUACGGGAGUCAUGCUGGAAUGCCGACUCCCCGAAACGCUCAGGCGCUGUAGGAUGUGGCUGCGGCCGAUUAGGUAGACGGUGGGGUAACGGCCCACCGUGCCGAUAAUCGGUACGGGUUGUGAGAGCAAGAGCCCGGAGACGGAAUCUGAGACAAGAUUCCGGGCCCUACGGGGCGCAGCAGGCGCGAAACCUUUACACUGCACGCAAGUGCGAUAAGGGGACCCCAAGUGCGAGGGCAUAUAGUCCUCGCUUUUCUCGACUGUAAGGCGGUCGAGGAAUAAGAGCUGGGCAAGACCGGUGCCAGCCGCCGCGGUAAUACCGGCAGCUCAAGUGAUGACCGAUAUUAUUGGGCCUAAAGCGUCCGUAGCCGGCCACGAAGGUUCAUCGGGAAAUCCGCCAGCUCAACUGGCGGGCGUCCGGUGAAAACCACGUGGCUUGGGACCGGAAGGCUCGAGGGGUACGUCCGGGGUAGGAGUGAAAUCCCGUAAUCCUGGACGGACCACCGAUGGCGAAAGCACCUCGAGAAGACGGAUCCGACGGUGAGGGACGAAAGCUAGGGUCUCGAACCGGAUUAGAUACCCGGGUAGUCCUAGCU